ACAAAGGGACAAGAAUCAGGUGAAAAUUGUGUUUUACAACUAAAAUUGAAUAUUUUGAAGAUGAGGGAAAAUGAGUGGUUUCAUAAAGUUUCCAGUGUGUGUUUUUUUUUUUUUUUUCAUUUAUUCAAUUGUGUUUAGUGUUCAUGUUUUCCUUUCAAAUACAGGAUUUAAAAGCUAUGGGAAAAGUCUYGGCUUCCCUGGUUUAUUGCCUUCUGAUGCUUUCUUUGGACAUGGUACAAAUGGAAAACAAUUUAGCCACCAAAGCCAUAGAAAGCACUAGUCUAACCCUGAAACAAGGAUCUACAAUAUCAACUUUAACUAACUCUGUGACCCCGAUGACUACAUCAUCAGAUUUUACUGAAGACACAGCACAGUAUAGCAGCAUAACAACCGUCAAAGAAAACUUCACCAGCACAGCAGCUACAACUGAAAACACAAGUCAUUUUCAGAUUUCUCCAUCCACAAUGACUUCUUUAACGGAUGGAUCCACACUGACUUCUUUAACGGAUGGAUCCACACUGACUUCAACGGAUGGAGCCACACUGACUUCUUUAACGGAUGGAGCCACACUGACUUCUUUAACGGACAGUGCAUCAUUGAAAAGCACAACACCAAGCACUGAAACUCCAACGUUCACAACAACACACACAAGCUACACCACACCUGACACGUCAGUAAGUCCAUCUGAAAAUGCAUCUCUUACAACUGUGGAUACAGUAAACAGAACCACACAAGGUUUAAACCUUAAUGAAUCUGAAAAAAUCAUGACAAUAAUCUUCAGUGUUGUGCUUGGCGUAUUCCUUUUGGCUCUGGUUAUGACCUUAUUAUGCAAAUGCAGUUACAAACUCCAAUACAUGCACCAACCACUCAACAGCACAAAUGAAGCAGGUAAGAAUUCUCAUUAUUUGGUAAAUGCCAAGUAUUUAUUUACUAACAGUAGAUAAACACAUAUUAAAUUUUCAACAGAUGGAUUUGUGGCUGAYGAUGACACACUUGUGAUUUCUGGAGGACUAUAUGAUGGCCAUCCGAUUUAUGAUAAUGUACCACCAAUUCCUUCAGAACCAUCUCAGUUUCGCCUUGAGUUUCUUCAAUAAACAGAUAUCUUUAUUCCUACAAAUUUGACUGCCAUUUUUGAUGCUUAGAUCAUACAAAUUAAACUCAAUUUUUACAUCUACAAGUAAUUUCUAAACUGCAAUUUCAUUUCAUCACAUCAACAAAAAGCAA